CAUGGUUACAAAGAAUAUGAUUUUUUUAAGGUUUUUAUUGUUACUUCUUUAAGUUUUUAUUUCAUGUUUUAAAACAAAAACCUGUUUGUUGUAGGGCAUUUAGAAAAUAUAGGAAGGACUCUUUCCUUCUGAAGGAUUGUUUUAGAUAUAACAAAGAAUGCCAUACCCCAGUACACCCCCACACCCCCACACACAGUCAAUGGGUCAAUGGCCACAGUUUCUCCACAACUGUUUACUUGAGAUUUUGCAUUCUUAGAAAUUCUCAUGGAACCGCCUUGCCUACAGUUCAUGAAAAACAGCGUGGGUCGUGGAGAGCAAUGGCCCCUGCUUCUGGCUGGCCAUCACAUGAGAGAAUAAGAAAACAAUGGCUGGACCCUUUAGGGACCUCAUCUCUCUGGAGACCCCCAAUAGUUUUGGAGAAAUAACUUGUGCUUUCCAGUCGCCACAAGGACCCAGUCCUUGACCUUGAGGGGGAAUGUCCUUGGUUACUUUUCAUCCUUUUUGUUCCUUGACAGAACAUGUUCCCAGGCCGAUGCCUGAGGUGGCUCCAGCUAAAUUGCCAACUCUUUCCAGAGUCACUACGACGUACCAAGAGCGCUGGGGUGAACAGAACAUGGUCCUUGCCCAGACCCAGGAUGCUCCCCUCAGGUUCGCCCUUUCGUGCUGUGUUAGGAACCACCAGCAUCUGGGAGGCGGAAUGGCUCACGCGGCAGUAAAGAGCCCUGCGUCUGCCGGCAGGUACCCAAACUCCCCGUGCCUCAGUCUCUUCCUCCGUCUAACGGGGAUGACAGCCAGCAGCCUCCCUUCCUGUGAGGAUGAAAUGAGCUAAUAAUUGACAACUCUAGCAGACUCUAAAUAAACGCUGGUUAUUGUUUCCUUCA
rnacentral:lncRNA from 1 species